rnacentral:rRNA from 1 species
AGAGUUUGAUCCUGGCUCAGAACGAACGCUGGCGGCAGGCCUAACACAUGCAAGUCGAGCGCACCUUCGGGUGAGCGGCGGACGGGUUAGUAACGCGUGGGAACAUACCCUUCUCUACGGAAUAGCCUCGGGAAACUGAGAGUAAUACCGUAUACGCCCUUCGGGGGAAAGAUUUAUCGGAGAUGGAUUGGCCCGCGUUAGAUUAGAUAGUUGGUGGGGUAAUGGCCUACCAAGUCUACGAUCUAUAGCUGGUUUUAGAGGAUGAUCAGCAACACUGGGACUGAGACACGGCCCAGACUCCUACGGGAGGCAGCAGUGGGGAAUCUUAGACAAUGGGCGCAAGCCUGAUCUAGCCAUGCCGCGUGUGUGAUGAAGGCCUUAGGGUCGUAAAGCACUUUCGCCAGGGAUGAUAAUGACAGUACCUGGUAAAGAAACCCCGGCUAACUCCGUGCCAGCAGCCGCGGUAAUACGGAGGGGGUUAGCGUUGUUCGGAAUUACUGGGCGUAAAGCGUACGUAGGCGGAUCAGAAAGUAGGGGGUGAAAUCCCAGGGCUCAACCCUGGAACUGCCUCCUAAACUCCUGGUCUUGAGUUCGAGAGAGGUGAGUGGAAUUCCGAGUGUAGAGGUGAAAUUCGUAGAUAUUCGGAGGAACACCAGUGGCGAAGGCGGCUCACUGGCUCGAUACUGACGCUGAGGUACGAAAGUGUGGGGAGCAAACAGGAUUAGAUACCCUGGUAGU